AACGAACGCUGGCGGCAGGCCUAAAACAUGCAAGUCGAACGGGUGUAGCAAUACAUCAGUGGCGCACGGGUGAGUAACGCGUGGGAACGUGCCCUUCAGUACGGGACAACGUCGGGAAACUGACGCUAAUACCGUAUAAUAUCUCCGGAUCAAAGAUUUAUCGCUGAAGGAUCGGCCCGCGUCUGAUUAGUUUGUUGGUGAGGUAACGGCUCACCAAGACUACGAUCAGUAGCUGGUCUGAGAGGAUGAUCAGCCACACUGGGACUGAGACACGGCCCAGACUCCUACGGGAGGCAGCAGUUAGGAAUAUUGGACAAUGGGGGAAACCCUGAUCCAGCCAUGCCGCGUGUGUGAUGAAGGCCUUAGGGUUGUAAAGCACUUUCGUUGGGGAUGAUAAUGACCGUACCCAAAGAAGAAGCCACGGCUAAAUUCGUG
rnacentral:rRNA from 1 species